CACACAUCAUAAACAUAAUAAUACAUAGACAUGGUUCAAACCAUUACCAAAAUCAUGCCAACAUAUAUACAAAGUACAUUAAAAUGCCAAUUCAUCAUUCAAAAUUAGCAUCAUAUGAACAUAAGGCUCCCUUAGGUGUAUGCCCUUAACUGACAAAAGGAAAUUCACCGAGAUUGCUGAGUUCGAGAUUCUUGAUGGAUGCUAAAAAUCGAUGCUUGAUAGUCCAAAUAACACCUAACCUGCACACGAAAAAUAAAAUCGUACACUGAGUACAAACUCAAUGAUAUUUUGAUAACAAAUAUUAUAACAUAACAUAAAUUAUGCAAAGAUAUAAAUCAAAGAUUGAAUGUUCAUAUGCAAAUUAAUAUGUCAAAUUAUACCAUUUCUUCAUAUUCAUUAACUUAAUCAUAUUCAAACUAAGAACAUAAAUCAUUUCAUAUCAUAUUUGAAGUUAUACUGAAUGGUUGUCACAUUUUCAUUUCGAAUUCCUAACCUUGCAAGUCUGAUAAACAUGGUCAAUCAUCAUUUCAAUUCAAUGCUACCAUCUCAUCAAUCAAUAAUCAAUUCAUAAAUGUAAAGCAAUAUUCAUCUCAAUACGACUUCAAUUUCACAUUUAUAACAAUACACAGUUUUUCUAAAUCUAUUCAAUUUAAUUUUUAUUGCAAACAACCAAUCGAAUUGAAUCAAUUCCACUCAAUUUAUCAUUUCUAACUCACCUUAUGAUCUUACCGUACAAAAUAGUUCAUAAUGCAGCAAUUGAAGUGAUUCGGGUCAUAAAAAUACAAACCGUAAAUUUCGAGUUACUCGUCGAUGACUUUAUUUUUUCCCUUCUUUUUCGAAGAAUCCGGGUCGACGUUAGCAAUUAAAGCUUCAAAAAUCAAAACCCCAUUGCUGAAACUUCCUCCUCCCUCACUUGUGUUUUCGGUGGAAAAUGAGAAAGAUAAAGCUUCUUUCUCU
rnacentral:lncRNA from 1 species